GGCUGACAUCAUGGUCCAGUUGCUGCUCUACUUGCUGAACUGAAUGGGGACGAGAUUGCAAAUCACCUGGACUGAGUCUAUGGCUACUGGUGAGCGUAGGUUCAUCAGGACGUGAUCUAAGGCGAAUAAGACCUUCCAUAGAUCCAUAGCCAUAAUCUUUGACAUCCGCCUCGACAUCAUUGUUAGAACGGCUACUGACAUGCGAAGGUUCAUCAGAGCCUGCUUUAAGGUGAAUAAGACCUUCCAUCGAACCAUAGCCAUAAUCUUCAGGAAAUCCCUCGGGACCCUCUCUGAACUGAAACUGAGGAGCAGGGGAAGCAAACACAGGGGUGGACACAAAAGCGGGAGUAGCAGG
rnacentral:lncRNA from 1 species